AGAUAACCUUGCUCCCCAAAGAUCCUGCUCCUGUGACCCAGCCUCUCGCAACCCUUGUCCUGUUCCUGGUCCUUGGCUUCCCUGAACUGUAUUGUAGGUGCAUGCACAGUACACACCCCUACAGUAGGCUGCCUGCCCUCCAGGCCUGUGGACCAGGGUUACACUCAACCACCUGCACAGCCUUCAGGGUGGAGGGAGCCCACCCCUCGAAAAUCACUGUCAGGCAGCAGCGGCAAAUUACAGACUGACAGUUCCAUUUGGACUUGCUGCCUGGAUCCGGUCCUGGGCUUCUCUAGCAACCAGGGCUCCCAGGUGCUGAUUCAAUAUGGGGACACAAUCCUAAUAUCAGAGGAUACUUCUUACAAAUAUUCUUGCAAAUAUCUGCCUAUUUUGGCUGAAGGUGGUAAUGAUACAAUAUCAUUGCAUUAUAGAACCAAGAGAUGGUUUCUGUGUAUAGAUAUGUGUAUAUGUGCGUGCACGUGUGCGUGUAUAUAUGUGUGUGAAUGUGUGUAUGAUGUAUUCAUAAAGAAGAUAAGUUACUAUUGUAGUAAGUUGCUUGUUAUGUUUAUUCCAAGAAAUCAGUUUCCAGAUUGAUUAUAAACUGUGCUGUUGUGGUACUCAUGUGCAUUUCAAAGAAAAUUUAAGACCUAUUUCUGAUUUGCUUAAUCUUAAUUCAUCAAAACAUUCUUUCAUAAAAGCUAUUCCAAUUUUAAGCUGCUUUUAAGAUCUGUUUUGGGCUUUUAUUCUCCAAACUAAGAAAUAGUUUUCUAAAGGCAAAGAUAAUACAGAAAGUUUAGUCUGAACUAUGGUAGCCAUAAAGCUCUUGGUGAUUCUUUAUUUUGAACAAAUUCUUUUUCCUUCCCAUUAAAUAUAAGUGGUUUAAAACAUUUAGUUUAAUUUGGCAAGGCUUCCUUUUCCUUACUUGACAGUUAGCCACUUGCCUAUCUUAGGAAUUUGAUUAGAUGUUUAUGUUGUACUAUAGAAAAUAAUACCAAACACUGCAUUAUUCCAAAAAUGAGAGGCACAAGUAUGAAAAAGAG
rnacentral:lncRNA from 1 species